rnacentral:tmRNA from 1 species
GGGGCUGCCUAGCUUCGACAUUUGUUCCUUGACAUACGUGGCAAGCAACAGCCGCUGCAAGCUGUGAUUGCAGUAAAUACAAAUGCUUACUCGUUUGUAAACAAAGUUAAGUUGGCGUUCUCGCCAGCUUUAGCUCCAGUCGCAGUUUAAUUGUGAUUGGCGAAGUUGAUCUCGACUCCGAUAGAUUUCAACUUCGUAUUAUUUUCGGACGAAACUUGAUUCUUUCGCGAGGUCAAUCUUUCGAAGUUAUUCGCGGAUCGAACUUGAAACGUUUUGUUGGUUUUUUAGUUUUAAGUUCUAAAUCACAAAUCCAACUAAGCUUGUAGAUACGUAUUCAUUGACUUAUGGACGCGGGUGCGAUUCCCGCCAGCUCCAUUC